UUUCGCCUCAGUUUCUUUUGUCUUCCUCUUGCUCGAGGUGGGAGUGGGAAGCUGAGAUAGGGCGAGGUCAUGGCGGAAAGGUCUGCGGGGAUUCCUGAUCGGGGGCGAUCCGCGAGAGCGGUGGCUCGUGGGAGCGUAAGGCCUGGGCGCCGCCGUGGAGAUAGGUUCGUCUCCGAUUUCGUUUCCUCUGCCCCCCUCUCAUUUAUUUGCCAGAUAGAGAAAGAUGUGUUGUUCGUGGUAGUCGUGGCCGGCGCAGGAGUAGCGGGAUGUUUCUUUUUCGGUGGCGGCACAGACGCUCGAGGGCAGCAGAUUCGCCGUGACCACGGGGUCGUCGGUGGUUCGGUCCUCUUCAGGUGUGGAUUCAGUCGCUGGGCGGCAGCGGAGGUGUGACCACGGUUUCAGAUCGUCGGGAGAGAAAUUAGAUCGGCAGUUGCCUGCUCGUGUGCGUGGGGCAAGAGUACUAACCAAGAAGUUAGUAUGAUACUUUGAUUUGUGCACAUUCCCCUCCUUGAGUCUCGUUUCCCCAAUCCCCUUUCCUGUGUUUGCAUGUGUAAAUAAAUUGUGUCCCUCUGUAUGUUCCUCUACUGUUCUCACAAUAUAAUAUACUAGCUAGAUUGAAUUUGUGUGCCUGUGUUUUAUGAAUUUGUGAACCUGUGUUAUACUGUGUGAUUGAAUUUGUUCUUAUACGGUAAUUUUUUGUUGGUGAAGACUUCUUAUAUGAAUUUGUGAACCUGUGUUUCACUGUCAUAUUGUUGAUAGCAUUUCAGUUCUGAAUUUAACCGAACCUGCAUUUAAGAUGGGUCUGUGACUUUUCAGCUCAAUUUUUUUUUUUUUGCAGAUAACCUUUGUUUUUUUAAAUAAAAGGGGUAUCCUUCGUUUUUUUUCUUAUGAUUUUUGUGUGUUAGAGCAUGUACGUAGUUGAUGCAGGUAGUCGGUGCACCUGAUUUAUCACGAUGAGUUGCCCAUGAUGUGUUGUCGAACAGGUCGAAUAGAUAAUGGUUUAGCAUCUUCACACGAGAAGUAGCAUCAAUUUCUUCUAUUUCGAACAAUUUUCCAUCACAUCCAAACAUAGGACAAAAGAGCAUGGAAUAAUAGACACAGGGAACAAGAGGAUUGUUGCUUAGUGGGCUAUGCAUCGGGCUCUACUAUUGUUGUUAACAGCAGGGCCGCCUCUUCUGUCAGCUCUCAUUUUUUUUCUAUCAUCUCUAGUGUAUGCACAAGAGUAAAUGAUGUAAUGUGGAUUAAGAAGUCUUACUGUCUUAGAAUUCCCGUUCAUGCACACAUGAUCGUGAGUUGAUUGAGCAUGUUUUUCUGUUGUGCGUGUUAGUGGUGGAGGUUUGGUUCUACACUCUCCGCUAAAUGUUUGGUCGUAGGAUGUACAACUAGCACUAGGAGAUUUAUAUCUAAAAUAUUAAUGCUAAUUGCCUGGGAUGCAGAACAAUUCUUGACACUGUACAACAAUGUCAGCGCUGAUCUAGAGAUCUGCACACACACUAUUUGAUAUGUUAAUUGUGUGUAUAUUAUUUAGUCGGUAUGUCUUUUUCAGUCUUGGGUUAUUUAUUUUUUCAUUCUCGAUUUAGUCAAUAUCUCCGUUUCAGUUGCUCAGUUCCUCCUUAUUUUUUCUUCCACAUUUAGUGUGGUGAGUUCCUCCAUUUCUAUUUUUAGUCCCUAGUUUCUAGGCUCCUCAGCCCCUUAGUUUUCCAGUGACUUAGUUUCUCGAUUAGCCUCUGUUUUUCAGUUAUCAGUCCCUCUUUGUUUAGUCUCUUUAUUAAGUUUCUUAUUUCAUUUUCAUAAGUCUCUCAUUAUUUCAGUCACUCAUUUUUUCACAUCUACUCAGUAUCUUAGUGUUCAGUUUUUUUGUUGAUCUUUGUGGCUCGGUUUGUUUCGUACGUCUCUCAGUUCUUCAUCACUCAUUUCUUGGUGUUCUAAAACUCCGUUUAAUAUUUCAGUUUUGUAGUCACUCAUUUCUCGGCAUUUUAAAGUUAAGUCCUCAUUCUUUAGUGCUCAACUCCUUCAGUUUUGUAGUCACUCUUUUCAUUUUUCAAAGUAUUUGAUCUUUUUCUCUCUUUUUUAGUAUUUCAGUCAUUCGUCUUUCAGUCCAACGUUUAGCUUCCAACAUUUCUAUUUUUAUUGUCCCAAUUUAUGAAAUAUUUCUUCAGUGUUACUUUUUCGGUUUAUCUCAUAUUUUUAGUAAUAUUUCCUCAGUAUACUCAAAUAAUUCUUGUUGAAUGCUUUUUUAUUCCUUUUCUCUUUGUUUUCAGCCUUUCACUUAUAAUUUUUUAAAUUAUUUCUUUGAUGGUAUGUAGUCUUUCAGUCAUCUUCGCUUUUUCAUUUAGUCCUCAGCUUCAUGUCUUUUAGUCUUCUUCGCUAUUUUUCGUAUUUUCUCAGCUACUCAAUGUGUCUCCGCUUAGCAUUGAGGCAUUGUCUCUUUUUAUUGCCUCAAACUCUCCAUUUGCAUUCCUGACCGGAUCCACUUUGACCUACAACCGGAGUUGCUCAUUUCCAUCCGUGCGCCACUUGCACGAUCAGCGUCAACAGCAGCCGCUGCACUCCUCCUCGAUGUGCUCUCUCCGAUGCUUGUCUCUGUUUAUGUCUUUCUCUAUAUAUCUUAAGUACCUCUUUGUUUCUUCUUCUCAGUAUUAUUUGCUCAGUCCUCUCCAUCUCUCAGUUUUAGCCUUUCAUUUCUAGUUUAUUCAGUCAUUUAAUUCCUUAUUUGUCUUAGUCACUACUUCAUCUUGCAACUUACUCCCGAUUUCUGCCCGCAGAUUCUAUUGUUAUUGCAUAGCCAGAUUGUUCUCUCAGCCUUAGUAAUCUUCAGUUAUUUAGUCUGGCGUGGCUUCAUUUUCAUUGUGUUGCUUAAGUUUUCAGUUACGUCAAGUGUCAAGUGGCUUUAGUUCUAUAUAGUGUUGAUUACAUUCAAUUCUGUAUACUCAAUUAUUCAACUUACCAACCUUACUUAAUGUAUAGUCGUAAGGGAUUUACACUUACCCAAAACCCAGAUGGUAUUGCUCCACAAUGAUGGUCGUUAUAAUGAAAACUCCUAGCACUAUAGGUCCCAUAAGUAGCUAGUCCUUCAUCUGGAUAGUGCUCAAUUAGAAGCUCUUUCAACAAAUCUUUCAGAUUUAUUUCAGUCUUUUCUUCUAGUCAGUUAGGAAACCUGUAAGGGAGCACCGAUAAAUAAAUCUUCAGGAGCAACUUGACCUGCAACGGAAAUUGUAGCAGCUCCCAAACACACAUCCACUACCAAAUCUGGUAAGUGUUACUUGGUUCAUCAAUUUUUAGUUUACUUAUUCUGGAAGGAGUUUGUCAUGUAGGUUUUAUUUUACACAAGCACAUUGUGUUCUUAGAUUUCUCUCUCUUAAAUUUCUAUCUUGUUCUGAACUCAUUAUUAUUAGUAGUGGCAUUGAUCACCGUAUGUUUGAUGCCCAUGUACUGCAAAAAUUUGUCACCAGUGUGUACAUAGAUAUUUACCAUUACUCCCACUUAUAGUCCACAUAUAUUCUAUUUCUCUCCAUGUAUAUGCUAUUUGUUGUUUAAGGCUGAAUGUUGUAUUUGGUAGGUCACUUCUUCCACCGAGAACAGGACACAAUUUGCAAAAUUAUACAGGACAACGCACAUUAUCCAGUGACCUCCAGAACAACAGUUUGUCUCAAUCCUGAACUUCAUGAUUCAUAUGGUAGUAUGGUACAACACAAAACAACUUAAUGCACCUAUGUAUGUAAGUGCUAGUUAGAUUCACUUCUUCAUAUUUUUUUGAACUUCACUAUCAGCAUUAGUAUCAAAGAGUGGGGUUGGUUCUUAUUUUAGUUCAGUAUUUGCACUUAUUUUUUAUUGAUUGCUGGGAGUAAUUUGCAUGUAUUGUGUUCCAAGAAAGUGCAACUAAAUAAGAGUGUAGAAAAUGAGGUCUUAAUACAGGUGUCUAACUCCAGCCCUACUUUCAGUUUUGCAUUUGUUUGUAGUUUUGAAUUUGACAGAACAUAAUUCAUGUUUUCGCAUCAGGGAGUUCAGGAGGGACUGCAGAGAAUUUGCAAAUUGAAGUAGGUCUUCUGUCAAAACCUGCUUGUCCUUCUUUGGUGCUUGCACUUCUAGAUAUGAUUCUUCACGUCUUUUCCCUCCAUUUUUCCUGUGGGAGUUCUUGAUCUUGACCUUCCAGAGAAGGAAAAACCUCAUAGCAGUUCUUCCGUGGAAGGGAUGGUAGAGCUCCUGUUCUAUUUGCUUGCUGGGCAGAAGGUCGAUCAGGUGUUAUGGGCUUAAAGGUGUUCCAUGUUACAGAUUUGUGUGCUUUGCAUGUUUUGGGCAUCAGAACACAUGACUUAGGCGUACACCGCUGCAACGUGGGCUGAGACAGUGAGCCAUUGUAACUCAACGUGGACUCAAAAGUGAGAAUUGCAAACUGAAAUCUGCACUUAAGAAAAUCUGUCUGUUUCCCAUCAAUGAAAACAGACACUUUUUGGUUAA